GUAUAGAAUGUUACUUCUGGGCCAGAACAUUUGGCGUCUUAAAAAACAAGUCAGAACCUUACAAAUUUAGCUGUUUGGCCAAAAGCAAACAACCGAAUAGGGCCUAAAACCUCUCAAAAAUCAUUAAUUUUUAUCCACUCCAAAAGUUCCCAAAUAUAUGUAGGCCACCAAAAAUUGGGCACACGAAAAACAGGGUAAAAUGCUACAAAUACACUCUAAAAAACUAACAAAAUACCUUGUUUUUACACACCCCAAAAUGGCUUUUUACUUCUGGGCCAGAACAUUUGGCGUCUUAAAAAACAAGUCAGAACCUUACAAAUUUAGCUGUUUGGCCAAAAGCAAACAACCGAAUAGGGCCUAAAACCUCUCAAAAAUCAUGAAUUUUUAUCCACCCCAAAAGUUCCCAAAUAUGUGUAGGCCACUAAAAGUUGGGCACACGAAAAACAGGGUAGAAUCCUACAAAUUUACUGUUUUCCCAAAAGUAACCAUCCGAAAAAGAUGUAAAAAACUUACAAAAUGCCUUGAUUUUAGACACUCCAAAAAUAGCUUUUCAUUUCUGGACCAAGCCAAUUGGCGCAUGCAAAAAUCAAGUAAAAUUACCUCAAAACCAUUGUCAAAAUGUCUAGAUUUCACACACCUCAAAACAGCUUUUCAUUUCUGGACCAAACCUAUUGGCGCAUGGAAAAAAUCAAUGAAAUACAACUUAAAGCGACUUAAAAUUUUCGACACUCCAAGUAAAAUUACUUUAAAAACCAGGAAAAACCUUUAUAAAUUCCCUAGUUUUUAGAUACCCCAAAAAUAUAGCUUUUCAUUUCUGGACCAAGCCAAUUGGCGCAUGGCAAAGGUGUUAAAAAUUAUUACCAAAUACAUUUUGCAUACCCCAACUGUAUUCAACUAUUAUACGCACAUAAAAGAGAUACACGUAAUACGCUCGAUCGUGCAGCGCUUAAUUUAAUAACGAAUAACGCAUUUAGACUUUUGAGCGUUUUUAUUAAACAGAAGAGGGUCGAUGGUCUAGCGUUGGUAUCCUUCAAAAAUAUGCUGACACAUCGGCCUACUCGUUUAAAAAACGGAUUAACUGUAAAAGCAUUUUUUUUCGUUAUAGAAAUUGUUCUUAUUCUUAUUGUAGUAUUCAACGAUAGGCAACCAACAAUGUCAUUAUUGUUAGGUAGUUAUAAUUUGUUUUUGUAACACAACUUACUAAAUUUGAAGUUUUUUUUUAAUUUUGUAAUUGUGAUAUUAAAAAGCUUGGAUAUUUUUAUAAUAAAGUUUAAUGCAAAACGAUAUAAAUGCGAUAUAAUUGAUAUAAGUAUUAACUUCCCUAUCGGGAAAGUUAAAAAUAAACAAAGGCAUAAAAAUGUAUAAUUUGUAAAUACAAAUUUAUAACAAACUAGUGAUGUGAGUCUGAUACUUAUGAUGCUGAUACAUGAUACGUUUACUAAACUAAUCUGUCAAAGGGAAAAUAAGGAAACAAAUAUAAAAUAUAUUUUUGAAAGUUUAUCAGUUUUUUCCAUCUUAAUUAAUCGGCUUUUGUUGAUGCAAUAAUUUAGAACACAUACAUUAGAGUGCAUAGUGAUAAAAGCAUGGGACGUCACAAGCACAUAGUGUGGAAAUAUUUUAGAAGAUACAAAAAGGAUAAAUAUAUUUAUAUUUUGUAAAAAAAACUUUUAUUGCAAAUCCACUAGGGAUGGAAAACCACUGUCAAGCACCUGCCGAAGUAAAAAGUUUGUUUGAAAAAAAUUUGAAAAAUACACAAAAAAACUGUAAAAAGGUACAGGUAACAUCUAGCAUUGCUAGUAGUACUAGUAUGCAUCAGCAUCAGCAAUAAGCAUUGGAAAUUUUUUAGACAAGAUGACAAAAGAGGAAAACAUCAAAGCUAAUAUUUUACUAGCACGAGCAAUGUUUGAUACCUGUUCACCGUUGUCAUUGGUGGAAAACAAAUAUUUCCAAAAAUUUCUUAAUUAUUUGCAUCCAUCAUACGAUCCACCAUCCAGAUUUCAAUUAUCAACAAGUCUAGGUGUUCAGUAAAAUAACUAAAAUAAGUAAUAUAUUAAUAUUGAUCUAUUUUUUAGUAAUUUUAUAAUUUUAUACUAUGUAUUUGGUAUUAAAUUAAAGGGACAAUUGCAGAAAAAUAAAAAAUUAGCAAUUUGUGACUUUUUUUUAACAAAAACUGAAAGAUAAGUAUCAUAAUAUUUAUCUUGAUAUAUAUCAGCAUAAAAUAAAUAGCAUGCUACUUUACAACACUAUAACAAACAUUAGGUUCACCUCUCCAUCAACAUACUACUCUCCAAUGUUUACAAUAUCAAUAAUUUCAUUUAUUAACUUUAAAUACAUAACAUUUCUAGGUAAGUUCAAACAUUGCAGCAACACUGUUUUUUAAUAAGUAAAUUUAUGUCACCUCUUUUAUAUUUAUAAAUUAAUUUUGUAUUUUACACCCUUGACGAAAAGUUGGCAUGAAAUAAUUUUGUUUGUUUUACACCACCCGAUAAACUAAUUAGACCAAAUAAUACCAAGACCAAUAAAACUACAAAAUUUUCCUAAACAGAAUUCCUGAAAGAAAAUAAUAAAAUUCCCUGACUUUUUACACAUUUUACGUAAUAAAUUAUAUGUUCUUCAGUCUUAAUAAAAAUCAAUAAAUUGAUUUUCAAUAUCAAUACCAAACGAUACGAUCGAACAAAUACGACUUUUUAAAUUAAGUGUGUUAUGUUCUUCUGCUCUGAGAAUUGGGCACGUUUCAACAACUUUUAGUCUCUCUAAAAACUGUAUCGCGGAAUUUUCAGAUGAAUGGCGCCAAUCUGGUUGUAUCUUGUCAAAAAUUAUCAGCUCCAUUGUUCUUCCAGCUUCUAAGUUUAUACUUGGAAAUACAAGGUCUUGUUGCCUUUCAGCAAUAUUUCCGGAUGGAGUUGACCAGUUAAAAUUUCCAUCCAUCAUUCGCCCCAAAUAAUGGGCACACUCAUGUGCUGCGAGUGUUACUGCAUCAGCUUCAAAGUUUUUUGUGCCUGGGACUUCAGCCAAUUGACCUUUGCAUAUUAGAAUACCAUCUAUAAGACAUGCCCCACGUAAACCUGCCAGUGGUUUAAAAUUAUCAAGGGUGUAAAUUUGCAUCUUCUCAAUUUUAACUUUGAUCCAUUCAGCAGUGCAGGAGAAUCCCAUAAUGUCAUUCAAACAAGUUUGAAAACCAGACCGUAUAGAGGGACUCAACAAUGCAGUACGAACCACUUGUAUUUCCUCUUCAGAGGUGACUUUUAUCACGUUAUAUGCUUCUUCUUGCUGUGCCUUUAAUACAAACUCUUUAAUCAGAGAAUCAAAGUAAUUAUCAAUGUUCGUCUUAGUACCACUUGGCCUUUUAUCAAAAUUACUUGAAUAGGUUUCGUACACUUGAUGAACGUUUAAUUUGGUAUAAUGAACCAAAACUUGUAGGUAUAUUUUUUUUACAGAAUUGCUAAAAUCAUCCUCUAAAAAGGAAAUGAUGUCCCUACUUGUCUCGGGACAUAUGUACAACCCCUGUUGCAUAAUGUUGUAUAAAACACAAUUUCUUAAUGAAUCCACGUGCAACUCGUGCAUGUUACAGCUGACUGGUGUAUGCGGAGACCUAUUCUUUAGAAACUGAACGAGGUUGAAGCUUUCCUGUCCAAUGUUUGAUCUGACCGAUUCAAAGUAAUCCAUCUGGGUAAUGUUGGUAUAAGCAAUCUGAAAGCCAACAGAAAUAUGUUAAAUGUCAUGUUUAGUGUUUGAGCUUAAUAAUGUAUGUUUAUCUAAUACUCUACAUCAAAUUUUAA